CUCCACACCUGCAAUCCAUCGGCUCAUCUCCACUGCAGUAUAUCUACACCGGCUUUUCCACCACUCCUCGCCGGAUUGUUGUUCAGCCUCCAUGGACCAUUACCACCCGCCUGCCUACCCUCCAGUCUGUUUCCUUCAAGCCACCUCUGCCUACAAUGAAGCCCUUCAUUCUCCCUCCUGCCCACGCCAGCCAUUCCCUGUCACCACCACCUCCCUCUUCCCAAGCUGGACUCAUUUUUCCCUUCCCUGAGCCUUAACCUUAUUUUUCCUUUUUUUCUAAUAAAUUCCUUUUUUCUGCUUA